rnacentral:rRNA from 1 species
UAAAGUGGCGUACGGGUGAGUAACACGUGGAUUAUCUACCCUCUAGUGGGGGAUAACCCUGGGAAACCGGGGCUAAUACCGCAUAAGCUCGAGAGAGGAAAGCAGCAAUGCGCUGGAAGAGGAGUCCGCGGCCGAUUACGCUAGUUGGUAGGGUAAAAGCCUACCAAGGCAACGAUCGGUAGCCGGCCUGAGAGGGCACACGGCCACACUGGCACUGAAACACGGGCCAG